rnacentral:lncRNA from 1 species
AUGGAGGACUCUUGGAGCACCCAGAGACCUCUCCUGCCCUUCUCCCUCAACAGCAGACAGCACAGGGCCAUAUGCUGCCCACCCAUCUUUGAAAAACCUGAACAUUCUCCUCCUGACUGUCAUCAACAAGUGAAAGGACUCAUUCUGGAAUCUACUUCUUUAUUAUCUUUUUGGAGAACAGGAAUCUUUGUCUGGAAAUUCCACACGUUUGCCUUCUGCAAGAUUAAAAGUGCCACAAAGAACAAAAAUGAGCCUAGGACCAGGUGCACACUAGAAGCCAUUAGACAUGUUAAAGUUUCAUCUCCAUUGACCUGGUAAGCCUGAUAGUAUAAAUGCACUUUUACCUCUUUAAAUAUUAUCAGUGGUAGAAAGUACAUGGCAGGUUUAGGGGAGCCAGGUGGAAUGUGGUUUUGAGCCUUGUGACCUGCGUGUUAGUUAAUGAGUGCUUAGACUGAACCUUUGCAUUUAAUGCUCAGGACAAAUAGCUGAUGAGGGGAGGGGCCGGAACUACAGGAGCAACUCCCUUUGAUCACUUGCCAGUAGAGCAAGGCCUUGGUAAUAACUGCAAGUUAAUAGGCUGAUGUGGCCAUGGCAAAGCCCUGGUGCAAUCCUUGCUAUUGGGGGCAGGAGACAGGAACCCACGUGGGGCAUGGUACUGACAGGGACCCACAUGGGGAAUGGUAAUGACAGGGACGCACGUGGGGAAUGGUAACAUAACAAGUGGUGGAGGACUUUCCACCUUACAUAUAGUCAUCCCUGGCUAUUAAGGUAGAUACUAUCUUCAUCAUCUUUAUUUUACAGAUCUAGAAAUGGAGUCACUGGUAGGUAAAGUAAUUUGCCUGAGGUGAUGCAACCACAGUGACAGAGCUGGCAUUUGAACAGAGCCUGGCUGUAGCCUCCAUUUAAUAAACUGCACACCAAAUAUUUCUCCCAGGGAAGGAAGCCACAGUGUGCUGCUUUUUUGGGCUUCCUCUGCAACCUACUCUGGCAUACAGGUCCUGCUCUCUUAUUAGUCUUAGACUGCUUUCUUAUGGAUGAAAUGGGAAUGCUGACGCCUGCUUUAAAUUGUUAGUGGGAUUGAAUGUCUGCAAAGAGUUGCUGCUCAGUCAAAGAGAAAAAGUAAAACA